UACGUAGGGGGCUAGCGUUGUCCGGAAUCACUGGGCGUAAAGGGUUCGCAGGCGGAAAUGCAAGUCAGAUGUAAAAGGCAGUAGCUUAACUACUGUAAGCAUUUGAAACUGGAUAUCUUGAGUACAGUAGAGGUAAGUAGAAUUUUUAGUGUAGCGGUGAAAUGCGUAGAUAUUAAGAAGAAUACCGGUGGCGAAGGCGACUUCCUGGGCUCAUUCUGACGCUCAGG
rnacentral:rRNA from 1 species